UACGAAGGGGGCUAGCGUUGCUCGGAAUCACUGGGCGUAAAGCGCACGUAGGCGGAUUGUUAAGUCAGGGGGUGAAAUCCUGGAGCUCAACUCCAGAACUGCCUUUGAUACUGGCGAUCUUGAGUUCGGGAGAGGUGAGUGGAACUGCGAGUGUAGAGGUGAAAUUCGUAGAUAUUCGCAAGAACACCAGUGGCGAAGGCGGCUCACUGGCCCGAUACUGACGCUGAGGUGCCGAAAGCGUG
rnacentral:rRNA from 1 species